GAAGUCGGAAUCGCUAGUAAUCGCGGAUCAGCAUGCCGCGGUGAAUACGUUCCCGGGCCUUGUACACACCGCCCGUCACACCAUGAGAGUUUGUAACACCCAAAGCGGUGGGGUAACCUUUUGGAGCCAGCCGUCUAAGGUGGGACAGAUGAUUGGGGUGAAGUCGUAACAAGGUAUC
rnacentral:rRNA from 1 species